GAAAAAAAAUAUUGAUUUUUGUUCGACGUUCGUUCGUCGACUAAUGCCCAUUUUCACCAGCGGUACCUAAAUGUUAAGUGUCCCCUAAGACAGUUUUAAGGAACACUUAGCGGACAUUUUGUUUUCAAUUAUAGAAAGAGUCAAAGUCACGGUGUCGUGUCGUGUGUCGUGUCUGUAAAAUAGAUUUAUGGUAGACUGACGAGUGAAAACGAAAAUAAAAUUAACUAUAAGUGUACGAGUGUAUAAAUAAUUUGAAAAUGUUAUCGGCAGAUGAUUAUAGUUAUACUGUGUAGUUAUAAUAGAACUGUGGAUUUAGAUCAAUUUUUACAUCAAUUAACAUCAUUACAAUUUUGUUGUUUUUCAAAAUUUAACAAAAUAAAUGACAGAUAAAGGUGCAUCUAAAACUGAGAGAGUUGGGGAUGAUAAAUCUAUUAACUUUAGAUCCUCUCCAAACUUUAAAUACAUGAAAAAGUACCUGAAGUCUAGGUUUGAAGAAGCAGGAUGCUCGGAGGCUUCUUCAACUAAUAUCAAAAUAGAUCAAGAGAGUACCAAUCCAGUAGAAACCAAAGUAAAUGUUGUUGUCCAGCCACCAUUGCCCCCAGAUUCACCACCUCCAGAUUAUCCUCCUAAUUUAAAACUUGUAAAACAAGAAGUCAUAGAUGAUGGCUACGAAAAGAAAGAACUGGAAAAUGAAAAGCAACAGGAAGAACAGGAGCCCAAGACUACCAUCCAUAUGGAGGCAGAAAAUAAACAGAGAAAACCAGAGAAGUGUCGUGAUUUCGCCAGAGGCAAUUGCACGUGGAAUCCAUGCAAAAAAAGCCAUAUUUUGGAUAGUGAUGAUUUCUGUAAAGACUUUGCAAAUGGCAAAUGCAAUCCAAAAUUGCGUCCUAAUUGCAGAUUUGUUCAUGCAACCACAUUUGAAAAGGAGAGUUAUUUCCGAACUGGUCACUUGCCUCAUCACUUACGUCCAAAUAUACGCAACAGGAAGGAUGCCCGUCCUGCACAACAACCUCAACAACAACAGCAGCCAAUAUUUUCAGCAGCAGCACCUAUUCAACCUAUGCAGAUGCCUAUGUAUACCAUGGUCAGUAACACGCCCGAUUUUCGUGCCAGUUGUGCACCACCUUUGCCGCCCGCGAUGUCCGUCCCGUCUGCCGCCGUCGACCCGGCGCUGGCCUACAUGUUCGUGCCGCCACAGCCCCCGCCACUAUUAUCACCACCACAACCAAAUCCUGAUUUCAACGAAUGGCGGAGUUACACGCGGUGAGAUACGAAUUUGGGAAUAUGCAAAGAGAAAUGGAAGAAUUUGCUCCGAAAAGUUGCACGAAAUGCAAGCUAUCUGAAUUGAGAUAUCUGGAAAAUGUUGCGGAAAUGGAAAAGCUUGAAGAUUCGGCCCAAUCGAUGAAGGAACAAAUUGCAUUAUUAGACCAAAAGAAGACAAAGCUAUUGGCUAUUCUGACAAAAGUAUUGUGGAAAGAUAUGCCAAAUUAGCAUGUAAGAACAUUUAUUAUGUACGGGGACAAGGUUUAUGGUGUCUAAUUUAUUGAUGUGUAACACAACCAUUCCUUAAUAUAAGAUAUAUUUGUUAAUGAGAUGGGUAUAUUUAUUCUCAUUAAUUUUAUUGUUAUCAUUACUAGCUUCAACCUGUGACCUUGAUUUGCUACUCCUGUUUUUUUAUAUUUUGACUAAAGGUACUUAUUAGAUGUACUAUUUAAUUAUAUUUAUUCAAUAAUACUUAUAAUUGUUCUCUCCCAUUGUAAUUAAAAUACGUAUAAUAAUAUUGCAAGAACGGCAUCACUAUUUUUUACUUUUUCAAAGAGCAACCUUCAGAUAAAUAAUACAUUGUGUAAUCUGUCCCCUUAUUUAAACAGAUCGAUGUGCUAUUAUGACCAUUUAAUUAUCGUGAAUAAGAUUAAUUGUGCUGUAGGAUUAAAAUAAAUGUUUCGUAAAUAAAUUUAUGUUUAAGCAUGAA